rnacentral:miRNA from 14 species
GGUGUUGCCUUGUUGAAGGAAGUGUGUCACUGGGGGUGGGCUUUGAGGUUUCAAAAGCCCAAGCCAGGCUUAGUGGCAUUCCCUCUUCCUGUUGCCUGCAAAUC